rnacentral:rRNA from 1 species
AGUGAACGCUGGCGGUAGGCCUAACACAUGCAAGUCGAACGGCAGCACAGGAGAGCUUGCUCUCUGGGUGGCGAGUGGCGGACGGGUGAGGAAUACAUCGGAAUCUACUCUGUCGUGGGGGAUAACGUAGGGAAACUUACGCUAAUACUGCAUACGACCUACGGGUGAAAGCAGGGGAUCUUCGGACCUUGCGCGAUUGAAUGAGCCGAUGUCGGAUUAGCUAGUUGGCGGGGUAAAGGCCCACCAAGGCGACGGUCCGUAGCUGGUCUGAGAGGAUGAUCAGCCACACUGGAACUGAGACACGGUCCAGACUCCUACGGGAGGCAGCAGUGGGGAAUAUUGGACAAUGGGCGCAAGCCUGAUCCAGCCAUACCGCGUGGGUGAAGAAGGCCUUCGGGUUGCAAAGCCCUUUUGUUGGGAAAGAAAUCCAGCUGGCUAAUACCCGGUUGGGAUGACGGUACCCAAAGAAUAAGCACCGGCUAACUUCGUGCCAGCCGCCGCAGUAA